AAUCAACGCUGGCGGCGUGCCUCAGACGUGCAAGUCGAGCGAUUAAAGCCCUCUUCGGAGGGUGCAUAAAGUGGCGCACGGGUGAGUAACACGUAAGUAAUCUACCUUCGAGUGGGGAAUAACGUUCGGAAACGAACGCUAAUACCGCAUAAUGCAGCGGCAUCGCAAGAUGACAGUUGUUAAAGGAUUAAUCGCUUGAA
rnacentral:rRNA from 1 species